GGCUGGUUAGUUCAGUUGGUUAGAACGUGGUGUUCUCAACAACAAGGUUGCCGGUUCGAUUCCUGCAUGGGCCA